rnacentral:rRNA from 1 species
UACGGAGGGUGCAAGCGUUGUUCGGAAUUACUGGGCGUAAAGGGCGCGUAGGCGGCCUGUCAAGUCCGAUGUGAAAGCCCGGGGCUCAACCCCGGAAGGGCAUUGGAAACUGAUGGGCUUGAGUUCGGAAGAGGAGGGCAGAAUUCCCGGUGUAGGGGUGAAAUCCGUAGAUAUCGGGAGGAAAACCAGUGGCGAAGGCGGCCCUCUGGGACGAAACUGACGCUGAGGCGCGAAAGCGUGGGGAGCAAACAGG